AGCUCCAUUAGCGUAUAUUAAAGUUGUUGCAGUUAAAAAGCUCGUAGUUGGAUUUCGGUGUGGGCCAGUCGGUCGGCCGCAAGGCUUGUUCACUGGCUGGUCUGCUCUCUCAAUCUCAAAGACUGCACGUGCUCUUCACUGUAGUGUGUGUCAGGAUUUGGGACGUUUACUUUGAAAAAAUUAGAGUGCUCAAAGCAGGCUUUACACGCUUGGAUAUUCGUGCAUGGAAUAAUGGAAUAGGACGUCGUUUCUAUUUUGUUGGUUUUCGGAAAUCGACGUAAUGAUUAACAGGGACAGUCGGGGGCACUAGUAUUCAGACGACAGAGGUGAAAUUCUUGGACCGUCUGAAGACUAACUACUGCGAAAGCAUUUGCCAAGAAUGUUUUCAUUAAUCAAGAAC
rnacentral:rRNA from 1 species